UGCGCGUGGACAGCGCGGCGAUUGGUCGGGUGGCGGCAGGGCCCCGGCGCGCCGGCCAAUGGCGCGGCGCGGCCACCACGUGCACAGCCUGUGGGUAAACAGGGAGCGGGGGCGGGGCCGGGGCGGGGCUCUCGCCCCUCAGCCCUUCACGCCCCACCGUGACGGGCCCCGGGCGGCGGCGGCUCGGGAGGUGUGUGCCUCGCUUCGGCACCUCCUCUGGUCACUGCCGGGGGAAAGCCGUGUGCCCUCGGAGCAGAAGCUUAGGAAACCCCUGCAGACAGUGGAAGAGCGCUGAGUAUGUCCGAGUCGCUGGCUGGAGGUGAGUAUGUCCAAGUCGCUCUCCUCCAGCCAACCCAAGCCCUGCUGCAAACCAAAAUACUUCAUUUCUGCUGGACACACGCUGCAAUUAUUGCUGUUCUUGGCCUUGUGUUGUUUUACAGUGGCCCAGGCUGACAGCAGAGCAUCUCCCAGGAGGUGUGUGAGGUGGGUGAUCUGCCGGCUUUUCCACGAGUGACCGAGGAGUCAUUUCCUGCUCCGUCACCUGUCACCUGCCCGCUCGAAGCUUCUGACAGCUGCAUCUUCCUGCAUUCCUCCAUCCCUCUGGGGCGCUGCAAAACACCGGCCUGGUGUUUCCCAGCUGACUCAGUUAAUUACUGAAAUUAGCAAAACUUGUCUUCAGCCCUUGGCUUUUAAAUAAAUCGUCAAUGAGAUAAAUCCAGGUUUCCUCAGAACAUCUCUGUGUCCCAUGAAAUGUAGCCUCCUAUUGAGAGUUCCUUCUGUGAGGAACUUGCCAAAAGCUAGGUAGACCUUUGGAACACUUUUUGUUGGCUACAGGUUCAUACACACAUCCAUGUUAAUCAAUUGUGACCUGGGGAAAAGGAAUGUGCUUACAGAUGGGGUGAACUCAUGGGCUUUGUUUCAACCUUUGGCCAUGCAUUCUCCAGCUCGUGAUGAAAAUUAUGUAAAGAAAAUAACUGGUUGUUCAAAUAUUUAAGGAAUUGUUGCCUGUUCACAUCCUUUUGUGCAUUUGAAAUAAUUCUUUACAGAAACUGCAAAUGUUACAUUGUAGUUGGGAUUUGUGGUGUAUAAAGUUGUGCUAUUUUGGUAUUUUUUUUAAGUUCAAUUAAACUCAGACAUGGCUAGUUUUGCAUCAA